GAGCUAACUUUUGGGGUGGAGUUAAGCCUGAUCGAUUUUCUCUAUAGUUCUAAACACCAACUAUUUGUAAAAUGGUUCCAUGAUUGAUAAAGCACUGGAAAUGAUAUUUGAACUUGAAAGUUUUUAUAUUAUUUUAGACAAGGUGUUCACUGAAUUAAAGUCAGGGCUGCCCCAUUGAGGGGCAUUUAUAUAAUGUACUUCUAAUAAUUUACAUGCCCAGGUGUUCAUUGGAAAUCAAACAGAUAUCUUGUCAUAAUGAGGUUCCCUUGCAAUUGCCCACAGAAUUAAGAUAGGCAAUGGUAUUUGUGAACCAGCUGAAGGGUAAUAUAUUUGUAAACCUAAUUUCAGGCCUAAAUUGGAGUACUAGGAAAAAACUAGAGUUAUUAAGUGGAGAUAAAAAUGGACUCUUAGAUGUUGUUUUUCUAUUAGUAUAAAUCUUUGCAAGAUCUCAGAUUUUUGUUUUACUCUUCUGGCAUAAGAAAAAAAAAACAUUCAAUGUC
rnacentral:misc_RNA from 1 species